rnacentral:rRNA from 1 species
AGCGAACGCUGGCGGCAGGCCUAACACAUGCAAGUCGAACGAACUCUUCGGAGUUAGUGGCGGACGGGUGAGUAACACGUGGGAACGUGCCUUUUGGUUCGGAAUAACUCGGGGAAACUUGUGCUAAUACCGAAUGCGCCCCUCGGGGGAAAGAUUUAUCGCCAUUAGAGCGGCCCGCGUCUGAUUAGCUAGUUGGUGAGGUAACGGCUCACCAAGGCGACGAUCAGUAGCUGGUCUGAGAGGAUGACCAGCCACACUGGGACUGAGACACGGCCCAGACUCCUACGGGAGGCAGCAGUGGGGAAUCUUGCGCAAUGGGCGAAAGCCUGACGCAGCCAUGCCGCGUGAAUGAUGAAGGUCUUAGGAUUGUAAAAUUCUUUCACCGGGGACGAUAAUGACGGUACCCGGAGAAGAAGCCCCGGCUAACUUCGUG